CCAGGCCUUCUAUCACUGGGGACCUGACACAGAAGUUCUCUACACAGAAUCCCCUCAGUUGAUAAGACCUCAUAUUUGCUUGGGGCUGAUGUCUUAGAGAGGUUCUGGUGCCUCUUGUGAAGCUUCCUGAGAAAAGUUCUAGGUCACAGCAGGAAAAUGAGAAAAUCAAGCAGUCGGUCAAUUGCCAGGGUGGGUGGAGCCUGCUUGCAACUG